CUAGGAACCAGAGGCAAUGGAAUGAAUUACUCCUGAAGACACUCUAGGGACCAGUCCUAUAUUGAGGUUACCCAACAGGUCUUUCCCAUCUCUGACCCAUACAAUAGAGACUAGCCUAAAAUCAACUUGAGAAGAAUUUCUCAACACAAAGUUGGUGUUGGCUGUAUUGUUAAACUGAUCCUGAGAGCCUCAUAAAACUGAUGUAUCUGUAAUGCCUGUCCCGACAGCAGCCUGUGGCAUGGAGAACUGUUUGGGAGAAGACAUUUUGAAAACAAUCAGAAAUAAUUUUUAUUUGAGGCUGCUCCUUGAAGUCUAGCCGCGGAGUACGUGGUGACGUUUUCCGAACUUCCAGUCUCAUGUCUCUCAUGGACAAACACAAAGUGAAGCGGCAACGUCUAGAUCGUAUAUUUGAAGAAAAGAGGCGAAGUACUUCCCCAAUGGAAAUAAUUGUUUGUCCAAAUUGGAAGCAAUGCAGUGCGAUAGAAUUGCGGUGUAAAGUUUUGUCUUACAUUUCUGAUAUCACAAGCCCUUCGUAA
rnacentral:lncRNA from 1 species